rnacentral:lncRNA from 1 species
CGAGUACGCGCCGGAAGAGGAGGUUCGCCUGUCCUUCAUCGUGAACGCGCGCGGUCGGCGCGAGAUCCCGCUCCCCGAGGGCUUCUACGGGAACGCCUUCGCCUACUCCGUCGCGGCGAUCACCGCCGGGGAGCUCUGCGGCGGGGACCUCGGGUUCGCGCUGGACCUAGUGAAGAAGGCCAAGUCGGCGGUGACCUACGACUACCUGCUGUCGGUGGCGGACCUGAUGGUGCUCACGGGCCGGCCGCUGUUCGCGCUGUCCAGGACGUACAUCGUGUCGGACGUCAGCCACGCCGGGUUCAAGAGCGUCGACUUCGGCUGGGGCGAGGCCGUCUACGGCGGGCCGGCGAAAGGCGGCGAAGGGCCGCUUCCCGGCGUCACCAACUACUUCUCACGGGCCAAGAACGGCAAGGGGGAGGAGUGCAUCGUCGUGCCCAUCUGCCUGCCCAAGGACGCCAUGGAGAAGUUUCUGCUCGAGGUGGAAGGCCUCACUGCGGAGCUCUAGGCUUCUCGAUGGGGUGCCUUCGUUCCGGUGUGUGUGCAUGGCAUUGGCAUAAUAGCCUACGCACAACUAAGUUGAUGUUGAUCUUCUUUUUUCGAGAACGUGUCCGUUGACACGUUUUUUCAUUAUCAUCAUUUUAUUCAAUUCUAUGUAUAUUUAUCAUCAUCAUUUUAUUCAAUUCUAUGGAGACAAUGCAAGCAAGGAAACGUGUGGUGUUGUGACAUUCCGUCCGUGCGUAAACUCUAAGAUGAACGUCGUAUAAUCAUUAAUCAAUCCUGUGGAAGUUGAAUGUUUGCUAGAUGGCACUUCACGGUACGGUGAGCUACUGAUAUGUCCACAUGUUGAGAGACAAUGGUUGUUUGUUUAUAUUGCUUUCACUUUACAAGUGCUAAUUUAGCUUAACAGCUGGAAUUAAAACAAAGCCACAAAGGUAAGAGAGUUUAGGUAUUUGGAAGAUCUUUAUUAAACUGAAGCUUAGCGAAAUUGAAUGGCUUGGGCAAGGCCUGACAAGAAUCUUGAACUUGAAAGGGGUCCAUGGCGGGGUUAUAUUGAAGGUGGCAAGGCAACAACAUAUGCAUGACAGGAUGAGUAAGCAAUUUGGCUUUGGUGCAACAAAGUAGGAUUCCUUUUUUUUUUUUUUUGACUGAACUGGAGGGGCCAGAGCCCCUGCAGUAGGAUUCCUUGUUGCCCCGAUUAUAUAUUCGGUGAAACUUGUGUUGCCAUGCCCACUCUAUUCUUUGGUGCUCAUAUUGGAUCUAAAUUUCUAGUGGGUGAUCCAUGGACACCCUCAACGAAGAAUACAGUGUAUGUGCUACUUUUUGGUGGCAACCACAGAUGAAUUUGAUCUUGCAUUUGCAUUGGCCCGCUUGUAACACAUCAAAUUGAGAACUCAAGUAAAUGUUUCAACUGGCUUUGUAUCUUCUAUUAAUAAACAAUACAUUUGCCUGCAAAUUAUUUUUCAGAUUGAGGUGACAUAUGUGUGUUUCACUGCUGUAUAUAUAUGUUCAUACGUGUUGUGUGCUGCUCCAGUAGAUGGAGCUGGCACAUCCUUUUCAUUUUCUGACCUGGCACUGGCAGGGUAUUUGUUGUCCAAUAAAGCAACGCAUUAGAAGUUUCCAUGCCCCUGAACUCUUGCUGUGAGCAACCUAGAAAGCAGUGACCCUCCUUUCACCUUACUGUCUUGCAUGUCCCUUCUUGUUCCAAGGACUCCAUAUAUGCAGGCACAUGCCUACGCAUGCAGCUCUCUCUUCCUCCCUCCCCUCGCCACCUGCACUUGCAGCCGCGGGGAUGACCGGCGGCGGCAACGGUGGCCGCGGCGCGUGCGCGGUGUGCAAGCACCAGCGGCGCAAGUGCGAGCCCAACUGCGAGCUUGCCACCUACUUCCCGGCGCACCGGAUGAACGACUUCCGCGCGCUGCACCUCGUCUUCGGUGUGGCCAACCUCACCAAGCUCAUCAAGGCCAACGCCAGCGACGCCGCCCGCCGCCGCGCCGCUGAGACGCUCACCUGGGAGGCCCGGUGGCGGGAGCGCGACCCCUCGGACGGGUGCUACCGCGAGGUCUCCUGCCUGCGCCGCGACAACGCCGUGCUGCGCGCCGAGAACGCCGCGCUGCGGAGGCAGCUGGCCGAGCAGCAGCAGCUGCUGCUCUGCUGGUCGAAUGCCUGCAGCAAUACUGGCGGCGCGCUCCUGCACAGCGCCAGUGCCAACAACGGCACGCCGCCGUGUGGGGGCGAUGGACUGCUAACGGCGGCGAGACCUCAUCAUGCACCGGCAGCUCCGGCGGCAAUGCACACCACGUUGGCCUACCGUGGCAUGCCGGUGUGCACUAUGACGACGGCCAACGGCGGCGGCAGGAGGCCGGCAUCGGAUGCAGCCGCCAUCGCAAUUAGAGGAGGUGGUGGUCAGGUCGACGCUUCUAGGGAUAACAAAAGCAGCGCCAGGUGAGGAUACUUGGACGCUAUAGCUUCCUUGUGCUCAGCUACUGCAAAAGCUAGCCGUUAGUUGCAUUCUGGAUACUUGUAUUGGCUUCUCUCCAUUGUUUCUGCAACUGCAGGUGAUGGUAGCUAUCGCUAACAACUGGGCAAAGAAAGGAGGAUAUCCUACCCCAAGUGUUGAUUUUUGGUUACUUGUUUGUGUACUGUUGUCAGCAAGGCGGCUCAGUAGAAGUAUAUCGACGAGAGCUAGACUAUACUUUUAUAUGUGUAUUGAUUGCUACUUCAGUCAUACAAUGAUCCUAGGAAUUACAUUACUAAUGAACCACAAGAUCGAAAAGGUUUACCACAGCUUUGACACUAUUGUUGAUGAUCCUCAGAAUCACUUUCCUAUUGAUUUUUUGAAUUCAAUAACUCCAAAUGGACUCCCCCCGCACGAGCUUAAGCUGAAAAUCAAUUGUCGUGUGAUUCUUCUCCGCAAUCUUGAUCCGAACAAUGGCUUGUGCAAUGGAACAAGGCUCAUGGUUAGAGCAUUGCAAGACAAUGCAAUUGAUGCUGAGAUCGUUGCUGGACAACAUGCACGGAAAAGGGUGUUCAUACCAAGGCUUCCAUUGUCUCCCUCAGAUGAUAUUUCUCUUCCUUUCAAGUUCAAGAGAAAACAAUUUCCAGUGCGCUUGAGUUUUGCCAUGACGAUAAAUAAAUCACAGGGACAAACCAUCCCUAAUGUUGGGAUCUACCUUCCGGAACCCGUGUUCUCGCAUGGACAACUCUAUGUUUGUUUAUCAAGGGGGGUGUCAAGAGCAACAACAAGAAUUUUGGCAAAAUCAAAAGAGGAUUUGGAUCCUACAGGGAAGAGCACUAAGAAUAUAGUUUACAAAGACGUCCUAAAUUGGUGACUAACGAUGUGUGUACUCAACCCAUUUUAUCAAUCCUCAUGUAAAAUUAUAUUGUUGGUUGUGUGCUUGAUAUUUUAAUUUUGUAGCAUCAGAGUCCUAUUUGUCUCCUAUAUAAUGUUUGGGUUCCAAACUUUCAGGUUCAUCUGACUGUUCUGGGAGCGUAUGUGAAGAAAUGGAAGAAAUGGCAUGUUCUUGUAGCACAUCUGACAACAGUCAGGUCGACAGUAAUGGAACAUGGCUGAUAGCCAGCGAGGAGGGAGUGUGAACUUCAGAAAUUUGUAUCAGUCUUGGACCUAAGGCCAGGGUAGUACAACCUGAAGGUGUGCUUAGGGAAAGGUUGAAUUCUGUAACUGAAAUCUGUUAUCUGAAUCAAUACACUGACUGAAAAAUUCAGCGUAAAUAAAACGGGUUGCAUUUGCAAAGCAGCAUGAUGUUAUGCUCCAGCCGUUAGUAUUGUAAUUUUGGCCCUCAUGCUAUUGGCAAUACAAAUUCCCAUAUUUUCAUUCUACAAGUUCCCUCAUGCUCGUAUUGUUUUUUUAUUCCCAGGCUUCAAGUUCCCGCUAAUAGAAUGGAAUACAUGCUUAAAAAUAUAAUUAUGUAAAAAUUGAAGUAUGCAAAAAAUCAUUGUUUGGUUAUUUUCAUGUGCCAAGGUAAAGCCGUGGCGUUAGCACGGGCAUUAUACUAGUACUUUUAUAUGUGUAUUGAUUGCUACUUCAGUCAUACAAUGAUCCUAGGAAUUACAUUACUAAUGAACCACAAGAUCGUCAGAGCAGCACAUAAUGAACCAGCCCUCAGCAUGUUAAUUUUUCAUCCAGCACGACUCAACAACUGCUAUAUACUCCCUCCAUCCAAAUUGUAAGUCAUUCUAAUAAUGUUGGAGAGUCAAAGCAUCUCAACUUUGACCAAAAUUAUAGGGAAAAUUACAAAGAUUUAUAACAUCAAAUAAGUAUAAUAUAAAAAUAUAAUUAAUGAGCAAUAUAAUGAUACUAAGUUGACACCAUAAAUAUUAUUAUUUUGUCAUAUAAAUUUGGUCGAGAUGGUUUGACUCUCUAAGAUUUCUUGGAAUCACUUAUAAUUUGGGAUGGAGGGAGUAUAUAUUAUAUAUACAUAAAGAUGCAGUUACAAAUUGCAUCAUCAUCUAUCAUCCCGUACAUUGUGACUCAAAGGUGCAUGAGUUUCUGGCAGAAAACAACUCAUCAUCUAACAAUAGAUUAAGCAACAAAAUAGCGUUGUCUUAAUUUAAAUCCAUCGACCGAACAACCAUCGUAUCAUAGCAAGACAUGGUUUCACGUUUUGAAGAGACCAAUUGAUGCUAGUUACACUCCUUGCUUUGCAAUGGGAUGCCCGGCUCAACUGGUCACAAAUCUACUCUUAGAGCAACCAUAAUAUAUAUAUAUAUAUAUAUAUAUAUAUAUAUAUAUAAAGUAGUCCAUAUAUAUGGGACCUACGAUAACUAGUCUAUACACUAGUGGAAUCGUGUGCUUUGCCUUGUGUCUACAACGCUCGGCAAACGACAAAAAACACCGAGUGUCACACUCAGCAAAGUCGAGACAGCAAAAAAACUUAACGUUAAGUUUUUUGCCGUCUCCUUUACCGUUAAGGUUUUUUUAGCCGAGACCCACGUAACUAGUCUAUAUACAACUAUUAUUAUCUUCACACAAUGUAUAUGAACCUGUAGUUAUAAGAUGGGUCCCAAAGAUGAUAAAUAAUUAUUUAUCUUCAAUCCAUCAGCCACUAUAAAGAGAGAGAGGAAAAGGAGUAAGCCAAUAAUGUUUUUUAUUCUCUAUGGGUAGUCAAUAAGCUUAUGAGUAUAUUUUACUAUGUACUACUCUAUAGACUGGUCUCAUAGUGUUUCAACUAGCUGAUAGAGAUUAUUGUAAUGCCUAUAUACUACUUUUGAGCAACAUUGUAGUUGCUCUUAAUUCGGACCACCAAUGUUAGGAGGAUCCUUCCCCACUUGACAAACCUAAGCAUCAUACCACACGUUAGUUAACAUCACUAAGACUAUCGGUUUCUUUAAUUUGUCACAGCAUAAUUUUUUUUAACGGAUGCAAAAGCACCGUAUGUUUAUUAGCAGAGGAAAAUAAAAGGCAACAAAAGCUGGCCAAGCAGCUAGCACCACUUGCAACCGACUUACCACUUACUUCAGAUCCACUACAUAUAGAGAAGGAAAUGAAAAGGAAAAGAGACUACUAACACUACUACAUUAAAGUUUGAUCACCGCCGGUUGUGUGAGAAUAUCACCACCGGUUCAUAGGCUGAGGGGUCACAAAAGGGUGACUUAUUGGCGGUGAUGAAUGUUUUUACUAUCGGUAUGUGAUACGACAUUCUUAGAAACUGUGAAACAAAUAGAGUAUACAUCUUCAACUUGACGUUCGUGAGGGUUGCGAAUCGUGUUCCAUCUUCCCUCGCAAAACAAAGGCCUUGUUUUCUAAAAAUCCAAAACUUUACAAGAUUCUCUGUCACAUCAAAUUUUACGGUAGGUGCAUAGAGCAUUAAAUAUAAAUAAAAAUAAAAAUUAAUUAUACAGUUUGUCUGUAAAUCGCGAGACGAAUCUUUUAAGCCUAGUUAUUCCAUAAUUAGACAAUGUUUGUCAAAUAAAAAUAAAAUUGCUACAAUAUCGUUUUUCAAAAAAAAAUUAGAACUCAACAAGACCAAAAUUCCCGGAAGGUGUCAGUAGUGUGACGCGUAUCUAUUGUGACGGUGACGUGGUGAUGCGCAAUGAAAAGUAGAAGAUAGGCAGAUAGCUAGGCUCGGCAGUGUAAAUUUUAUUUUACCUUUGAGGAUUGAGGGCAUGUGCUUUUAUUUUUUCUUAUUAGAUUCAUUUUGAGAAGUGUGUAAAUACAUAUUUCAAUCGAACUGUGUGGAAAGGAAAAAAAAAACCACCUUCGGCUCGGCGUUCACAUGCAUGGCGUUCCUGAUGAUUCAGGUCGGCGACGCACGCACGCACCUUAAAUCCUUGAUCUUGCUCAUCGUCGCUCGCUCUGUGCGCGCGAGCCAUCGCCAGCACCUCGUGGUGCAGGCGAGGGGGCGGCAGGCAGACAGUCAGGGACUCUUGAUGGCGGUAAGAACGGGGGAAAAGAGAAUGACAUGCGGUCGUUGUUUCCAACGUAUUCUAAUUAAAUAAAUAAUACCGGUGGUUGCGCCGCAUAUGCCUGAUGGCUAGCUGAUGCAUCUCAUUCUCAUCAUGCAUAUCAACGCGGGGUCCAUCCGGGAAGUAACAAAUCACAACAGCUUUAGUUACCACGAUCGCUCAGCUCACACUCACAGUUAGCCAAAAUUCAAAAAGCAGGUGUUUGUUUAGUCUAGCUAGGAUAACCACACAUCACACAAACAUGUUAAAAGUGAAUCAUCGGUAGUUGCGUUGCGCCAAUAAUGCAGCGCGUGCAUGCAUUGCAAAUGCAAAUGUCGUCGUCGUCAUCGUCGCAUUCUAGCAUCGUUCACUCGAUUUUGGGCCUUGUUUAGUUCCUUCCAAAAAUUAAAAAACUUUUAAAGAUUUUUUGUCAUAUUAAAUAUUAUGGUACAAAUAUAGAACAUUAAAUAUAGAUAAAUACAUAACUAAUUAUACAGUUUAUUUGUAAUUUUACAGUUUAUACAGUUUAUUUGUAAUUUAUAAAAUAUUUUUUUAAUUUAGUUAGUUUAUAAUUAAAUAAUAAUUAUUAUAUACAAACUAAAGUACUACAAUAGCUCAAAAAGAAAUUUACAAGGGCUUUGUUUACUUCCACUCAAAAACUCAAAAUUUUUUGAGCCUAGUUAGUCUAUGGUUGAACAAUAAUUAUUACAAACAAACAAAACUGCUACAGUGUAACGAAAUGUUUUCGCUGAGGAACUAAACACGCCCAACGAACUAAGGCCUUGUUUAGUUCUGAAAAUGUGAAAAGUUUUCGGUACUGUAGCACUUUCGUUUGUUUGUGACAAAUAUUAUUCAAUCAUGGACUAACUAGGAUCAAAAGAUUCGUCUCAUGAUUUCCAGCUAAACUGUGUAAUUAGUUUUUGUUUUCGUCUAUAUUUAAUGUUUCAUGCAUGUGCCACCAGAUUCGAUGUGACGUGGAAUCUUGAAAACUUUUUGGUUUUGAGGGUGGCCUAAACAAAGGCCUCGAUAUAUCUGUCUCACCCUCCGCCCUAGCACGUUGAACUUGAUGAACCUGAAACAGAGGAGCCAGCACAGACGAUCUGAUCUGACGGAGCACUUGCACGAUCGAGACGCCGUCGUCCAUUUCAGAGGCUGUUCUUGAGGCCGAUGGACGAGAGCUGUAGCAAGCUGCGUGCACAGCAGCAGCCUUUUGGUUGCGUGCAUCGGUGCAUGAGCAUGACUGCUGGUAUAUGAUAGCCACCUGAGGCUGAGGAUGCAAUAACCGCCGGGCGCUUUCCUGUCCUGUCCCCUCCAUUCCGGCCAUCGCGGCCACCGGACCGGGCGCCAUCUCGUUAGCUAGCCAUCGGUGCAAAAAAUAAACAAGGCCAUAGCUUCUCAUGUCUCGUUGCUCGAGAGAUAGAAGAGAGGAGCAGAGGAGAGGAGCAGGAAGCUAGCGAGCCGCUGAUAAACGUGUUGGGAUGCUCAAAUACGCUGGUAGUGGGUUAAAAAUAUGUACUGACGUUUCAUUUUUUUUAUUUUAAGUUUCACCAUUCGUCUUAUUUAGAAAAUUUAUGUAAAUAUAGUCAAAUUUAAAUCAUUCUUGAAGAACUUUGAUUAAUAAAUCAAGCUACGAUAAAAGAAGUGAUAUUUUGCACAAAUUUAUGAAUAAGACGAGUGAUCAAAGUUGGUGUUAAAAAAAGUCAAACAUCUUAUAAUUUGGUAUGAAUUGAGUAUAUCUUUUCUAAAAUUUAUGAAUAAUUGAAUAUAGAUUUAUCUUAUAUUUGCUCAGGGUUGAUGAGCACCGUGGUGAUGGGUAGUCAUCCUAGGUGAGGAGCCGGAGCAAUAAAAUAUUUUUUUAAGAACUUAGCACCGCAUCAAGUAGUUCCGUUGCUCUCUGUUUUUUGGAGUUAGCUGCACUCACUGCUUUGUUUAGAUGGAUAUGUAUUUACCUUAAUUCACAUAUGUUGAAGAGAAUUGGAGUAGAACUUAAACUAAUUUUCAAUCCAUGCGUUCAAGUGGAUAAUGAUAAAUAUGCAUCUAAACAAGGCCUAUUCCAGCUUGGUUGACAUAUUAUGUAAAGUGCAUGCACUGUGUUUCUUACUGUGAUAAUAAAUUGGUAAUCGACGGAAAUGUUUCUAUAUAUAGAAUAUACCCUCUCUGUUUUAAACAUAAUUUAUUGUAGCUUUAUUCCAAGUCGUUUUUAAAAUAACUUUGAACAAUUUAUAAAAAAACGCACCAACUUAAUAUCAAGUUAGUUUCAUUAAUUAAAUUCUUCAAUUAGAUAUGUUUAAUUUGAUUGCGUAUUUAUUUGAACACAUCAACUCCGUAUAUGUUAACAUGUUUUCACAUAAAUGCAGUGAAAAUACUCUAAACCACCGUAUAAAUUGAAACAGAGUAGUAUUAUUGCGAAAGCACAAUCGCGUCAAGAAGAAAUACAGGACUAGCAAUUGCAAGGCAGGAUUGACAUUGCAAAUCUGCAAGUAGUAUAUGAAUUGUUUCCAAGUUACCUUUCCACAAAACAAGUGCACAGCACCACCGUAUUUCGUUGCGUACGUACAGCUGUGUAUAUAGUACGAAAAACAACACACGUCAUCGACGAGACGAACACGGCGCAUUUUCACAGUACGUACUUGAUGACGUUCUACCUACAGUAUGUAGUUGCGAUCAUGCCUUGGCAGACUAAUUUUAUACAUGCGCACACCCUGACAUGUAUAUAUGCAUGCACCCCGGCCGGCCGGCCGGCCGGCCGGUGCGCGGCGGUGGAUCGCCUAGAGCUCGGCGGUGAGGCCUUCCACCUCGAGCUGGAACUUCUCCAUGGCGUCCUUGGGCAGGCAGAUGGGCACGACGGUGCCUUCCUCCCCCUUGCCGUUCUUGGCCCUGGAGAAGUAGUUGGUGACGCCGGGGAGCGGCCCUUCGCCGCCUUUCGCCGGCCCGCCGUAGACGGCCUCACCCCAGCCGAAGUCGAUGCUCUUGAACCCGGCGUGGCUGAUGUCCGACACGAUGUACGUUCUCGACAGCUCGAACAGCGGCCGCCCCGUGAGCACCAUCAGGUCCGCCACCGACACCAGGUAGUCGUAGGUCACCGCCGACUUGGCCAUCUUCACGAGCUCCAGCGCGAAACCGAGGUCCCCGCCGCAGAGCUCCCCGGCGGUGGUCGCCGCGACGGAGUAGGCGAAGGCGUUCCCGUAGAAUCCCUCGGGGAGCGGGAUGUCGGGCCGGCCGCGUGCGUUCACGAUGAAGGACAGGCGCACCUCCUCAUCGGGCGCGUACCCGAGCGCGGCGGUGCGGCUGCGCCAGAUGCACGCGGCGACGAGCUCGAACCGGGAGCAGCGCAUCCCGGGCGGCGCGCGCUGGCGCAGCCCAGCGAUCUCCCGUGCCCCGAAGAAGAAGGGCACGCGAACCAUGUCAGCGGCGGGAGUGGUCAGCAUCCGGUCGACGCCAACGCCGCCCGCGGGCUCGCGGUACUCGACGUGCGGGUAGGCCGGGCGCGGCGGGUUGCGCGCCAUGAACAUCUCCCUGCCCCAGGCCGGCGCGACGGACGGCGCGGCGGCGCCGCGUGCGAUCUCGCACACGGCCUUCUCGAACUGCAUCCCGCCCGGGGCGUCCACGACGCAGUGGCAGAAGCGCUGGCCGAAGAUGAAGCCGCCGCACGCCAGGCGGGUGACCUGGACGUACAGCAAGGGGCGGUCGACGACGGGCUCGACUCCGGCGACGGUGGUGCUCUCGAGGAUGAACUGCUCGAAGCACGGGAACGGCGGGCUCUGGACGUCGCCGAAGUCGUCGGCGGUGAGGUCGGCGUCGGCCUCGGCGAACAGGACGCCCUGCGCGGCGCAGUCGACGACGAGCUUCCUGCCUUCCACCUCGCGGAGGCGGCCGGCGAGCGGGUAGUAGGGGACGAGCGCCUGCGCCAGCGCCUCGCGGAUGACCGUGGCCGGGUCCUGGCCGGCCUUGGCUGGGUUGGCGCGGUACAGGUGGAUGCCGGAGCUGUAGAACCGCAUGCCCUCGGAGUCGUCGAUGUCCGACAGCGGCUUCGUCUCCCGUGGCGUCGGCGACGACGGCGCCACCAGCACGGGCUCCCCGCGCCGCACCGUGAACGGCGGCAGAGACGAUGCCAUUGCCAUGACGCGCACGUACGUGAUCAGCUGAGAGCUGUAGGUGGAAACGCGAGGCAGUGGAGGUGGCUGCUGCCUGAACUGAACUGAACUGAACCGAACUGAACCUGAUGAGAGUUUGCUUGGUUUUAUAGCGCGUAGUGGGGGUUGGUGGUGCGAAUCGGGAAACAAUGCAGCUUGGUCAGCAAAAGUCCACGGAGGCUGGCGCACGCGCAGGUCAUGAGAGAUAUGGUGCAGCGUGGCAGACGGCCAGUAGGUAGGUGCAUGGAAAAUCGGGUUCGGGCAACUGGGUGGUGGUGGUCGUCUGAUCACUACAGCGGGUAGUGACGGGUUCAGGGUGAACUAAACAAGGCCCAAGGUGGAGAGGGUGUUGGUACGUGCUAGGCUUGGCGUGCUUAAGCUGGAUCCGUUUGGAUGCAUGUCAUCUAUUGGAGGCCGCGGAAUUGUAUUGGGCUUAAUACCAAAACAGGCAUGGCGUUGAAAUGGUCACAAUUCGAAUAUUAUUAUAUUAUCUGUUUGGAUGACCAUUGAAUUGGCUCUUGGGAUCCUAACAAGUAGCUCAAAUCUGACUCUUGUUUGGAUGCUGGCUGUUCUUGUGCCGCCGGCCGAUGGACGAGAGCUGUAGCUGCCGGCCGAUGGAUGAGUGUGCCGCCGGCCGAUGGACGAGAGCUGUAGCUGCCGGCCGAUGGAUGGACAAUGAUUUGAUUGCUGAAUACUCCGUCCUUGGUACAGAGCAGGUCUUAACAUACAAAAAUCAGGCACUGAGGAUAGUUUGCCUUAGUACAGACAAAAAGGGUAGAUGGCGAAGACAGUAUGACUAUUUGAGAGAGAAAAUAUAUCAAUACGAUUUCCUUUGUUAACCCAAUAAUGGUGGUAUAUUGCAUCUUGCGAUAAUGUUCGUCUUUGUUUCUCCUAUUAGCCUCUGGCCCAAUGUAUGUAUAGUUGCUUCAGCCACUGUAGAUCUUAUCCUAAACUUGUGGUUGCACGUUGCAGCAAAAUGGUCGGUAUGUGGUCGAAAACAUAAUCAGAUCCUCUAGCCUUUGUGAUAGUUUGUGAAGAGUAUUCUAGAUUUUUAGAAUUCUUUUAAAGUCUUGUUUAAGUGCAUAUGUAUUAGUGUUGAAUUGAAUUGGAGUGAAACUGAAAUUAAUUUUCACUUCAUGUGUUGUAGUGGAUAGAUGUGCAUCCAAAUAAGGCUGAAGUGUUCCAGCUUGGUUGACAUAUUCUGCAAAGUGCAUGCACUAUGUUUCUUACUAAGAUAAUAAAUUGGUAUCGAUGGAAAUGUUUCUAUAUAUAAUAUACCCUCUUUGUUUUGAAUAUAAUUUAUUUUAGCUUUAUUCCAAGUCAUUUUUGUAUAACUUUGAACAAUUUAAUAAAAAACACCAACUUAAUAUAUAUCAAGUUGUGGUUUCAUUAAAUUCUUCAAUUACAUAUGAUUAAUUCGAUAGUGUAUUUAUUUGAACAUAUAUCUAUGUUGAUAUGUUAUAUAACAUAUCACACUGAAAAUAUAAACUACAAUUUAAAAUGGAGUAGUAUUAUUGCACAAGCACAACCAACCUCCAACGGAGGACCUCAUCCCCUCCGGGUCAUCAAUCAAGCUUAAUCUCCAAGAUCACUCUUUCGGGUCAGGGCAAUCCCAAUGUUAGACACGAUAUAUAUAGAAAUUAUGUUUCCAAUGUAUAGUUUUUAUAGAAUAUUUUUUCAUCCAACCAUAUUCAUUAUCUCUCCAUUCUCAACUAAUCAUACCACUUUAUGUCUUAAAUCUUGUGUAGACAUGUUUCUAACUUAGACUCGGUUUUUAUAAUUUUUGUUUUUUCUCUCUUCAAUAACUACCAUACUACAUUAGCAAAAUGCUUAGAUGAUAAUAUAAUUAAUGUCUAUAGAAACAAUGAUGAUUUAUAUGCCUUAGCCAUUCUCCGUGCUAGGUUUAGGCCCUCUCUCGCCACCAACGCCUCACGGUGAGGACAUCUGGCACAUGACCGCCCCUGCAAGCACCCUCCUGCUGUGUCUCGGAUCUCCCACUGAAAUGCUACCGGAAUCGGUAUUGGCAUAAAAGCACACCGAAAAUGGUCAAAUGACAUACGACAGAUUUCCACGUACCACACCAGCCAAUAGACUUGAGGCGAUGGAUCUACGUCACGGCCUUGUUUGGUUUUUAUUUAUUUAUUUUGAAACGGUAGUAUUUUUAUUUUUAUUUGAUAAUUAUUAUCUAAUUAUAUAGUAACUAUAUUCAAAAGAUUUAUCUUAUAAUUUAUAGAUAAAUUAUGUAAUUAGUUUUUACUUUCGACUAUAUUUAAUGCUUUAUGCAUUAUGUCAAAAAUUUGAUGUGGCAAGGAAUUUAAAAAAAUGGUUUUUAAAUCGUUUUCUUUUCUCCUUCCUGCAAAGCUGAGCCAUCACAUCACAAGCGUACGUGUAUUCAAAUAUUCCUGACAAAUCGCGUCAUCGUCGAAAAUAAGAGUUUUCCGUUGUAUGAAAAACCAUAAUUAAAAAUAUUGUUUGCUGAUUUAUUAAUAAAUUUAGUAAAUAAACUUUACAUGACCAUAAUUAUCCUUUUGCCAACGUGUGUACACGAGUGGGCGGUUGGACGCAGUCAAGUCAAGUAACAUUUUUUUUUCUGACAAGAAGUCAAGUAGCCUUAAUUUGGUACUUGCUACCGUUCCUACGGGAUAAGGAGCAAAAAAUUUUAUAUAUGAUACUCUAACAAAAAAAAAUAGUUCAUGUUUGAACGAGUUUUUAAUGAAUAAUAUUUAUAUUUAUGACUCUAAAUUAAUUUAUUAUAAAAAUAUAUUUCAUAAUUAAUCUAAUAUUAUUAAUUUGGUCUCAUAAAUAUUGAUAUUUUUUAUUUAUAAUUAAUCAAACUUAAGAUAUUAAAAUAUGACACUGUGCUAGAAUUAUAUUUUUUUUCUUAAACGGAGGUAGUAUGUCAGUUUUAAAAAAACUAUGCUUAGCUCACUCGACUGACUCAGUUGUUGGUACUCGUCUCGUAAUCCUAUCUUUCUUACUAACCUAGCUACUACUCCAAACCCAUUGGUGGAUGUCGGAGUUUCGUUAUAAAUAAACGAGCAGCCCCACGCAUUACAUUACCUCAUCCGGAAAAUAAAGCAAGGAGGCCUGGUCAAACUAGCCCAACUCAAAUAACUAAUCCGACCGGGACUCUUGCCUUGUUCAUUUGCAGGACCGGAGUGUGUAUAGUUAAUAAAAUAAAAAUCCAUCAUCAUUUUGCAUUGUGUAGUGCUCUGUUAGACAGACGGAUCUGCACGUCAAAUUAAAUUUGCGGCCACCUACCUACAUUUUGAAUGUCAAUGUACGUGCUCUGUCGGACAAAUGAUAAUAGAGCCAAGUGCUUAGCUAUAAGCUAAAUGAUUAAAGCUAAGUUAUAUAGUAAGUUGUCUCAUACUUGUCUUUAAAAUAUCUUCUCUUUUCUAUUCCUUCUCACAACACUUAUUAUCUGGGUCCACCACUACCUAUGCAUUCGUGUCUAGCUUAGUGUUUACAUAAGAGCAAAACUAUCAUCUCUCUCCUCUCUUAUCUCCUCACAUCAGCAUUAGCUUAGCUAUAAACCUAUUAUUAUAUAUAUGCUCUUAUAGGAGUAGUGUCUGUAUGUAGUUGCAGAACAAAACAAAAAAAAAAGCGUGUGAACGGCCGGGCCAACUGCCAAGGUUUGUCCAAGCAAAGCAGCAGCGAGGAGUUGGUGCACCAACCUUUCCUGCCGCUGCCCUGCCCGGGCCGGCCCUCUUAAUCAUGCUCGCCGCCGGCCCGAUCACAUUCACAGCGAGGAGUCAGGACAGGAGAGAACGGCGUUUUCAUACUCAAACCACUUAGGCCUUGUUUAGUUCUUAAAGGAAAAAAAAUUUUGGUACACCGUAGCACUUUCGUUUAUUUGUGAUAAUUAGACUAACUAGGCUUAAAAGAUUUGUCUUGUCAAUUUCGACCAAACUGUGCAAUUAGUUUUUAUUUUCAUCUAUAUUUAAUACUUCAUGCAUAGGUCUAAAAAUUCGAUGUGACGGAAAAUCUUGAAAAAAUUUAAGUUUUUUGGUGGAAGUAAACAGGGUCUUAGCUGCUGAUAGAGAUGUCGACUGUCGUGUCGUGUCCAUUAGAGACCGCCCGGCGGUUCAAGUUCAACGAGGGAGGGUGAUCGAGUGAGAUAUGGAGGGUUUGAUCAGUUGCUUGUGCAUGUAUACUUCCUUCUAUAUGCUAAUUAAGAUGAGACGACGACGAUGAUGACAUUAUGCAUGCAGACGCAGUAUUGCAUUAUUGGCGCAACGCGACCACUAAUUCGAUUGUUGUUUGCGGUGGUGAUUAUCCUAGACUAAAUUAAACAAACAAGAUGCCUUUUGAAAUUUUUGGCUACCCUCAAGCAGUCAAGCUCAUGAUGACCGCGCGCGGUAACUAGGCCUUGUUUAGUUCGCAAAAUUUUUCAAGAUUCUCCGUCACAUCGAAUCUUGCGGCACAUGCAUGGAGCAUUAAAUAUACAUGAAAACAAAAACUAUUUGCACAGUUCAUCUGUAAACCACGAGAUGAAUCUUUUGAGCCUACUUACUCUAUAAUUAGACAAUAUUUGUCAAAUAAAAACGAAAGUGCUACAGUGUCGUUUUUCACCUGUUUUUGCGAACUGAACAAGGCCUAAAAGGUGUUGGUGACUUGUGCUCGGAUGUGAUCUGAUCUGAUCUCUGAUGAUGCGCCGCCGCAUUUCGACGACGUGACACCAAUCGGAACAGGGUCUCCUAGGGUAGGGUUAUUUUUAUAUAUAUAUUUUUACAACGUGGGAAACGGCGACCGCACAACACACCACACACGACUCCAGGGAGGUGAAAAAGGCCUUCACCUCGAAAUACAAAAAGUUUUCCUAUCACAUCGAAUCUUACGGCAUAUACAUAAAAUAUUAAAUAUAUACGAAAACAAAAUCUAAUCACAUACUCUAGUUUUUUAACUCUAGUUAGUUUAUGAUAAGACAAUAUUUACUAUAAAUAAACGAAAGUACUAUAUUAGUAAAAUCUAAAAAAAUUUCGCAUCAAAUCUCCGCGAGUCUCCGUUCCUCUAUUAUUCUCUGCCACUGCAAGUCUGCAUCCAAAAUUCCCCUUUCCCUAGCGCGCGCCGGUCGGUCAAAAAGGCCCUCGCCCGAAGAUUUUCUGUAUAUGAAGUUCUGGACAACUCAACUCAGGCCUUAUCAGUUCACCCAAAAACCAAAACACUUUUUAACAUUCUUUGUCAUAUCGAAUUUUGUAAAACAGGCAUGCACAAAGCAUUAAAUAUAAACAAAAAUAAAAACUAAUUGCAUAGUUUAUCUGUAAAUUAUGAGAUAAAUCUUUAGAGUCUAAUUAUUUCAUGAUUAAACAAUAAUUACCAAAUAAAAACAAAAGUGUUACACUAUCCAAAACUUAAAAAAAUCAAAACUAAACAAAACCUCAGAGAGUCUCAACCGGCACUGUUCACUCCAUGUUUUCCAUUCCAUUCCACUCCAUCGACAUACGCAACCUGCUGGUGCUGGGUUAUCAUCAAGUAUUCAAGUGUACUGGUCACAAUGAACCAUUUAUGGCUCCGUUUACUUAUUUUAUAAGCUGCAGUUACAUUUUUUAUAUCAGCUAAUAAUAUUUUUCUCUCAUAACAAAUCAGCGAAUAAUACUUUCAGUCAUGACUUUUCAGAUAAGCGAUAUCUCUCUCUCACACACACUCUCUUAACUUUGUUGGAACUGAAAGCAACGUAUCAUUCUUACACUCCAUGAUUUGAUCACGAGGUGUGCUGGCAAUGUCAUGCAUGCACACGGAGCCGACGAGCGAAGACGACCGAAUAAAAUUAAGCGUGUGUUUGGUUGCACGGUUAUAGUGGGAUGGGUUGAAUUGGGUUGGACCCAUUUUUGGGGCCGUUUGGUUUGCAGAGAAGCUGAGUUGGAUUUAUCCCCUAAGGGGAAAAUAUGCUGCGUAGAUGCAGGUUCACCCAAUUCCUCCAAAUCAGAGAAAUCGGCCGAACCCACUUCGCCUAGGCGCUUGGGCGUAACCGCGGGGAGCAGAUGCGACAGCCACACUCGUUGGGGAGCGACAACAGCAGCCAUGGCGCGUUGGAGCAUGCUAGGAGGGGCCCACAGCAGAGGGCCCUAGCGGCGGCUAUUGCACCGACAAAGGUGAGGGCCGCAGUGGUUGUCGCACUUGCACGGAUGAGGGCUGCGGCGGUUGUCGCACCGAUGCGUUUACGUAGCGGCAACACCAGCAUUAAUUAGAAUGGAUCCAUAUCGACAACAGCAGAUGAGGGUGUGUGCGAGCAGGGGAGGAAGAAGGGCGGCAACACCAGACCGAGCGACUGCGAGCAGAGACGGUCCACGACUGUGCAACCAAGCUGUGAGCCAUGCAAUUCGUGAGCAGGGGAGGUAGAAGAUGAGUUAGAGGAGGCUAAUGUAUGAGCUUCGCAUGUCAGGGACCUCAACCCACAUUGCAUUCUCCUCCAACCAAACACGAAAUGAGGGAUAACCCCAUCCCAAUAACCAAACAAGAAAUGGAAUUAACCCAACCCCCAAAAAACUAGAACGGAGUCAAUUCAACCUAGCUAGUUCCAAAACCAAACCCGCGCUAAAGCGCCUACGUGUGUGGCAUCAACCAUCUGAAUGCAUGACCAGGAACGCCAUGCAUCCUCUUUCUCUAAAAAGAGGAACGCCAUACAUGUGAACACCAAGCCUAGCUAUGAUCUCUUUGUUUCUAAAUAAAUAGAUUUCUAUAGUUAUUUUAAUUCAAAGUUUUAAAACUCUAACCAAAUUUCUAUAAAAAUCCAACAAGAUUUAUGACACUAAUUAGCAUCAUUAGAUAAACCAUACAACAUAUUUUCAUAAUACGCUCAUUUUAUAUCAUACAUAUUGUUAUUAUGUUCUGUAAAAUUAGUCAAAAUCUAAGAUAUUUUCCGGACGGGAGAGAUGGCAUUGCGCGUCACAGUACACCUCGUGACGACCGCAGCAGACGAUGCGACCCAGGCAAAAAAAAAAACGAUUUCCCAUGUACCGUACCGUGCCCCUACUUCCUACUAGCGGUCAGCCCCGCUGCCAGCACCCAGCAGGACAUGCACACCAGCCUCCGUGGACUUUGCUGACCAAGCUGUAUUUCCCCUUUCCUUCCCCACCAUGAGUGUGUCUCGCGCACGAUUCGCACCACCAACCCCCACUGCGCGCUAUAAAACCAAGCAAACUCUCAUCAGGUUCAGUUCACGCAGCAGAGACCUCGACGCACUCACCACACAGCCUCGCGUUUCCACCUACAGCGACACAGGCCACUACCAGCUAGCUACCUCGGCACGCCCAGCCGGCCAGCUCUCAGCUGAUCACGUCCGUACGCGUCAUGGCAAUGGCAUCGGCUCUGCCGCCGUUCACGGUGCGGCGCGGGGAACCCGUGCUGGUGGCGCCGUCGUCGCCAACGCCGCGGGAGACGAAGCCGCUGUCGGACAUCGACGACUCCGAGGGCAUGCGCUUCUACAGCUCUGGCAUCCACCUGUACCGCGCCAACCCAUCCAAGGCCGGCCAGGACCCGGCCACGGUCAUCCGCGAGGCGCUGGCGCAGGCGCUCGUCCCCUACUACCCGCUCGCCGGCCGCCUCCGCGAGGUGGAAGGCAGGAAGCUCGUCGUCGACUGCGCCGCGCAGGGCGUCCUGUUCGCCGAGGCCGACGUCGACCUCACCGCCGACGACUUCGGCGACGUCCAGAGCCCGCCGUUCCCGUGCUUCGAGCAGUUCAUCCUCGAGAGCACCACCGUCGCCGGCGUCGAGCCCGUCGUCGACCGCCCCUUGCUGUACGUCCAGGUCACCCGCCUGGCGUGCGGCGGCUUCAUCUUCGGCCAGCGCUUCUGCCACUGCGUCGUGGACGCCCCGGGCGGGAUGCAGUUCGAGAAGGCCGUGUGCGAGAUCGCGCGCGGCGCCGCCGCGCCGUCCGUCGCGCCGGCCUGGGGCAGGGAGAUGUUCAUGGCGCGCAACCCGCCUCGCCCGGCCUACCCGCACGUCGAGUACCGCGAGCCCGCGGGCGGCGUUGGCGUCGACCGGAUACUGACCACUCCCGCCGCUGACAUGGUUCGCGUGCCCUUCUUCUUCGGGGCACGGGAGAUCGCUGGGCUGCGCCAGCGGGCGCCGCCCGGGAUGCGCUGCUCCCGGUUCGAGCUCGUCGCCGCGUGCAUCUGGCGCAGCCGCACCGCCGCGCUCGGGUACGCACCCGACGAAGAGGUGCGCCUGUCCUUCAUCGUGAACGCACGCGGCCGGCCCGACAUCCCGCUCCUCGAGGGAUUCUACGGGAACGCCUUCGCCUACUCCGUCGCGGCGGCCACCGCCGGGGAGCUCUGCGGCGGGGACCUCGGUUUCGCGCUGGAGCUCGUGAAGAAGGCCAAGUCGGCGGUGACCUACGACUACCUGGUGUCGGUGGCGGACCUGAUGGUGCUGACGGGGCGGCCGCUGUUCGAGGUGUCGAGAACGUACAUCGUGUCGGACAUCAGCCACGCCGGGUUCAAGAGCAUCGACUUCGGCUGGGGUGAGGCCGUCUACGGCGGGCCGGCGAAAGGCGGCGAAGGGCCGCUCCCCGGCGUCACCAACUACUUCUCAAGGGCCAAGAACGGCAAGGGGGAGGAAGGCACCGUCGUGCCCAUCUGCCUGCCCAAGGACGCCAUGGAGAAGUUCCAGCUCGAGGUGGAAGGCCUCACCGCCGAGCUCUAGGCGAUCCACCGCCGCGCACCGGCCGGCCGGCCGGGGUACAUGCAUAUAUACAUGUCAGGGUGUGCGCAUGCAUAACAAUAGCCUACCAAGGAAGGCAUGAGCGCAACUUUACACUACUGUAGAUAGAACGUCGUCAUCAAGUACGUACACCAUAAAUGCGUCCUG